ACGCGAGGGAGGCUGCAAAGCGGCGAAAUCUUCGCGGGUUCGCCAGUUUUUUCCUGGCGUCUUUGUUUGGACGAGGAUCCGUUCAUUCCGAGGAACCCACGGGGGCUGCCAUCUCAUUCGCCCGAGGUAUCCGCUAAAAACAGUGCAAUGUACACCUGCAGCAUUUGUCAUUGCUGCUGUACCAGUUUAUCACUCUUUCUGAAGCACGUUACAUUGCAUAAGAAUGCCAGCAACAUGCAGAUUCAGUGCCCCCUCUCAGGAUGCAAGAGGGUAUUCAGGAAGAUUGGUUCCGUCUAUAGCCACCUGUCACGUGACCACAAAUACUGGAGUAGAUUUGAGGCACCCCUUGCUCUGCUUCACGAGGCUGUUCCACUUGCGUGCAGUGUAGCCACUUGUCUUCAA